GGUGAAGAACGCAGUGAAAUGCGAUAAGUAAUGUGAAUUGCAGAAUUCAGUGAAUCAUCGAAUCUUUGAACGCACAUUGCGCCCCUUGGUAUUCCUUGGGGCAUGCCUGUUCGAGCGUCACUACAAACCCGCUCAUACAUAUUAUAUGGUAUUGAUGGAAGUGGACCGUGGUUACUAAUAAUGUAUCUGGAUCACCCCAUUGAAAUGUAUAGGCAGGACAGUAAACCUCUGCAAUGGACUUAGUAACUGUUGUGAAAACAUAGACCAGUCCUUUGCCUGGUUCCAGCCUGGCCUCCAUGGACCUCUAUCCAAGAUGAACUCUGGGUUGACCUCGGAUCAGGUAGGGAUACCCGCUGAACUUAAGCAUAUCAAUAAGCGGAGGA
rnacentral:misc_RNA from 1 species